rnacentral:lncRNA from 1 species
UUUUCCAUGCCCUACCUUGUAACGAGGCUGCCUGCUAUUGGUUGUGUAGACUGCUGGCUGUGGUUGGUGGAGCUAGGUCACAUGGCGGCUGACUGCAGAACCCUAAGGGGCCCUAGGGCUAGUACUGGCUCCUUGGUGGGUGGAGUCAGGGUCCAAAAGACUCCAGUACUGUUGCCUGCCCGCUGGUGAGUGGAGCCAGUUUUGGUAUUAUGCUGGACUGUUGGAAGGCAGAGCUGGAGUUCAUUGCAGGACUCAGGAAUCCCAGAACUGGUGUUGCAUUGGUUGGGGAUUGGGGUGGGGGAUUGGCGCUGGUUCCUGACACACUUGGGUCCAGGAUCUGGGGUGUCUCAAAGCUUAUGUUGGCCUACUGGUGGGCAGGGCUGGGGCUUAGCUGGUCCCAGAAUAGGGUCUGGCCUGCUGUGUGUGGUCUGCGCCUGCAGGGGGCAAGGCUGUGGUUUCUGCUUCUGGUGGGAGAGGCUGGUAUGGACGCUAGCAGAGGCUUCCUGGGGGCAGGGCCGGGGGCAGGGCAUUCUGGGAAGCGCCUGCGCACUGGCGCAGUGGCAAAAACAGCCGCAUUCUCUGGAGGGCUUUGGCCAGCCCGUGUGCUGAUGGCUCUGGCACAGUUAGUUUUUGGGCCAUAGAUAUUCUAGCACUAGUUCCCACAGGCUGCUGGGUGGGGCCAGGUCUUUAGCUCUUACAUGGCGCCCCAGCAGUGACUUCUGCAGACACCAGCGUCCACACGGUAGAACGAGCUAAGUCCGCAGGGUAGCCACAGUCAUUCCUCAGCCCUCCCGGAGACUCUCCUUGGCCAGCAGGUAGGCCUGGCCCAGGCUUCUUUCAAAUCACUGCGUUUGCCUUCGGUCCUGGUAUAUGUAAGAUUUUCUGCGAGCCCUUUAAAAGUAGCGUCUCUGUUUCCCACAGCCAUCUGGGCCUCCUGAUAUUAAGCUUUGCUGGCCUUCAAAGCCAGAUAUUCCAGAGGGUUAUCUUCUAGAUGCAGGACCCCUGGGCUGGGGGGCCAGACGUAGGGCUCAGAGCUCUCUCUCCGGGGCAGAACCUCUGCACUGUAAUUCUCCAAUGUGUACAUCACACACUUGAGGUAUGGGGUUUGAUUAUAUCGGGAGUCUGACAUUCCGGCCCCCGCCCCCCCCCCCCAACCUAUCUUGUGGUUCUGUCUUUAGUUUAGAUCUUUCUUGAUAGGUUCUGGUCUUUUUCAUCCAUGGUUGUUCAACAGAUAGU